GAUGAACGCUGGCGGCGUGCCUAAUACAUGCAAGUCGAGCGAACAGACGAGGAGCUUGCUCCUCUGUCGUUAGCGGCGGACGGGUGAGUAACACGUGGAUAACCUACCUAUAAGACUGGGAUAACUUCGGGAAACCGGAGCUAAUACCGGAUAAUAUAUUGAACCGCAUGGUUCAAUAGUGAAAGACGGUUUUGCUGUCACUUAUAGAUGGAUCCGCGCCGCAUUAGCUAGUUGGUAAGGUAACGGCUUACCAAGGCGACGAUGCGUAGCCGACCUGAGAGGGUGAUCGGCCACACUGGAACUGAGACACGGUCCAGACUCCUACGGGAGGCAGCAGUAGGGAAUCUUCCGCAAUGGGCGAAAGCCUGACGGAGCAACGCCGCGUGAGUGAUGAAGGUCUUCGGAUCGUAAAACUCUGUUAUUAGGGAAGAACAAAUGUGUAAGUAACUAUGCACGUCUUGACGGUACCUAAUCAGAAAGCCACGGCUAACUACGU
rnacentral:rRNA from 1 species